GACGAACGCUGGCGGCGUGCUUAACACAUGCGAGUCGAACGGAAAGGCCCUGCUUUUGUGGGGUGCUCGAGUGGCGAACGGGUGAGUAACACGUGAGUAACCUGCCCUUGACUUUGGGAUAACUUCAGGAAACUGGGGCUAAUACCGGAUAGGAGCUCCUGCUGCAUGGUGGGGGUUGGAAAGUUUCGGCGGUUGGGGAUGGACUCGCGGCUUAUCAGCUUGUUGGUGGGGUAGUGGCUUACCAAGGCUUUGACGGGUAGCCGGCCUGAGAGGGUGAUCGGCCACAUUGGGACUGAGAUACGGCCCAGACUCCUACGGGAGGCAGCAGGGGGGAAUAUUGCACAAUGGGCGGAAGCCUGAUGCAGCAACGCCGCGUGCGGGAGGACGGCCUUCGGGUGGUAAACCGCUUUCGCCUGUGACGAAGCGUGAGUGACGGUAAUGGGUAAAGAAGCACCGGCUAACUACGG
rnacentral:rRNA from 1 species